rnacentral:rRNA from 1 species
UAAUUGAAGAGUUUGAUCAUGGCUCAGAUUGAACGCUGGCGGCAGGCCUAACACAUGCAAGUCGAGCGGCAGCGACAUCAACAAUCCUUCGGGUGCGAUGAUGGGCGGCGAGCGGCGGACGGGUGAGUAAUGCCUGGGAACAUGCCUUAGUGUGGGGGAUAACCAUUGGAAACGAUGGCUAAUACCGCAUAAUCUCCUUUCUUUUACGAGAUGGGAGCAAAGCGGGGGACCUUCGGGCCUCGCGCGCUAAGAUUGGCCCAGGUGGGAUUAGCUAGUAGGUGGGGUAACGGCUCACCUAGGCAACGAUCCCUAGCUGGUCUGAGAGGAUGAUCAGCCACACUGGAACUGAGACACGGUCCAGACUCCUACGGGAGGCAGCAGUGGGG